CUAUGACAGACUAAUUCCUCAGGCCAUCAAAGAUGAAGCUGCUUCUGGCAGGACAUCCUCCACCUCUGAGACUGUGACAGUGAGAAGCAGCUCUAUUAGGGACGAUGAUGAUCUGUACAACAGUCUCCGGACGAAAUCCUCUGACUUCUCCUC